AUUGAACGCUGGCGGCAGGCCUAACACAUGCAAGUCGAGCGGAUGAAGGGAGCUUGCUCCUGGCUUCAGCGGCGGACGGGUGAGUAAUGCCUAGGAAUCUGCCUUGUAGUGGGGGAUAACGUCCGGAAACGGGCGCUAAUACCGCAUACGUCCUGAGGGAGAAAGUGGGGGAUCUUCGGACCUCACGCUAUCAGAUGAGCCUAGGUCGGAUUAGCUAGUUGGUGGGGUAAAGGCCUACCAAGGCGACGAUCCGUAACUGGCCUGAGAGGAUGAUCAGUCACACUGGAACUGAGACACGGUCCAGACUCCUACGGGAGGCAGCAGUGGGGAAUAUUGGACAAUGGGCGAAAGCCUGAUCCAGCCAUGCCGCGUGUGUGAAGAAGGUCUUCGGAUUGCAAAGCACUUUAAGUUGGGAGGAAGGGCAGUAAGUUAAUACCUUGCUGUUUUGACGUUACCAACAGAAUAAGCACCGGCUAACUUCGUG
rnacentral:rRNA from 1 species